rnacentral:rRNA from 1 species
UAGGGAAUCUUCCGCAAUGGACGCAAGUCUGACGGAGCAACGCCGCGUGAGUGAAGAAGGAUUUCGGUUCGUAAAACUCUGUUGUUAGAGAAGAACAGCGCAUAGAGUAACUGUUAUGCGUGUGACGGUAUCUAACCAGAAAGCCACGGCUAACUACGUGCCAGCAGCCGCGGUAAUACGUAGGUGGCAAGCGUUGUCCGGAUUUAUUGGGCGUAAAGCGAGCGCAGGCGGUCAAUUAAGUCUGAUGUGAAAGCCCCCGGCUCAACCGGGGAGGGUCAUUGGAAACUGGUUGACUUGAGUGCAGAAGAGGAGAGUGGAAUUCCAUGUGUAGCGGUGAAAUGCGUAGAUAUUAGGAGGAAUACCAGUAGCGAAGGCGACUUUCUGGACACAAACUGACGCUGAGGUACGAAAGCGUGGGGAGCAAACAGG